UUACAAAUUUACCCUUAAUUAAAAAUUCUGAUUUUAAUAAUUUUACUAGUGGGUGGGCCAACUUUCUCUCUCCAAACACUUUAAUCACUUUCAUUUACUCCCACUAAUGUUUGUCUUAAAUAUUGCCUCGUAACCCGCAAAACCCUCCAAAGUUGCAAAUAAAAAUUAACGGAUUGAGUAUUCACUUUCCUCUUCCCACGCUAUUGCAAACCCUUACUACCUUACUCUAUUAUCUGCAUAUUACUCAAAAGACACUCAUACCCUAAUUUUUAGGACCCAAAACCUCUUAAUUCCGGCGGAAAAUUGCAACUCUCCGGUGAAAAAGAUAAGUCUUGUUGGCUGUCCCAAUCGUAUUUAAUUUCGUGGAGGCGACAUUUCAUGAUUCUUCAAUUUAAGGUUGCAUUGUAGCAUGUUCUUGAUGAAGAGGAUGAUUAGCAAAUGAGAGGUUUAGGAUGCUACUCUUGGACAUUUUUAUAUGGGUACUUUUAGAGUUCAUAAGCUCCCUCAAGAGCAAUUUUAUCGGCAUGGUUUCGUCAUAACUAAAGUAUGUGAAGUUUAAUUUGGGAAUGAAAUACACAAGAUAUUGACGGCUACUGCAUUAAACAUCAUGUUAAAUCAUUUCUUGAUCAUCAGGAAAAGCAGGUAUAAAUUGGUUCUCUCUCAAGCCUUUUGCUUAUGGUUUCAUGUAAUUUGUACUCCGUAUAAAAUAAGGGGGUGUUUGGUUAACGCAAGAAAAUAAGGAGGUAGUAGUAGUAGUAGUAUAAUUGUUGUUGAUGAUGAUGGUUUGAGGGCUGUUUAAUUUGGUCGUUGAAAUCAUCGGCAAAAAGGAGAGUGGCAAACGGUCCUCACAAAGCCUUUUGUUUUUGCUAACAUGUUUUAAUGUUGUAUAUACUUAUAGUGGAAAUGAUACUUUUAAUAAUGAUUCUCGUUUCAUUAUAUCUAAUAGGAGAUCAAUUUCUUUGUUGGUUGCUUUCUUACUGUUAUUAGUGGUUGGUAUGCUAGGCUAUUCUAGGAUUUCUGCAGAGUUUAACCUUGGAUAUCGUAAUGAGUUGAACAUAUCUAUAAACCUACUUAACCACCUGGGGAUUGUAUCCUUUUGAGGACUAUAUUACAUAUAUCAAUGCCUCAUUUACGCUGAAAGAAUUCAAACAUUUGUGGAGAUAAAAUGGUUGUGUGGCAAAACAUGGCCGUUAUUUGGCUGUUUGCACUGAUGAUUUUCAAAAGCCUUUGUGUAUAUAGAUAUCAUCUACGACAACUCGAGGAAGUGGCAACAGUCUCAUUUGGUAAAAUGAAGAACUUUUCUAUUGUUAGAUGUAAUAAUAUGCUUAUUUGACAAGGUAUUGUCUUUUUAUUUAUUUAUUUAUUUAUUUAUUAUUAUUAGUUAUUAUAGGUUGCAAAAUACAAUAGAUGUUGUUGCAGCUCAGUUCUUCCUAAAGAAUGUACAUCAUGAGAAGGGAAACGUAGCUUACAAGCUAUUCAGAAAUCUAGAACUUAAUUCUAGACCUAAUGUUUUUGGUGAGCUAAUGCGAGUUCUUAUAUCUCCUUCUGAGAGUAUUGAAGCCGAAGAGCCAGAUAUCACAUUGCACAUGCACAUUCUGAUAAACAGGUACUAUAAUGAAGCUAGCUUUUCUUUAGAAACCAAUAUUUCAUACUUCUUAAAUGCUUCUAGGCCAUGUGGAUUCUUACUUGUUAUAUGUUUUCUCUCUUUUUAUUUCAUAACUACAAUUUAAUGAAAUAGAUUGAUUCUCUAGUUAUAGCAAGGUUGUUUUCAUUAUUUGAGAUGAAUAUUAUAGAUUUAUAGAGUAUAUGUUAUAGAGUUUUUGCUAUUUGAGUUGAAUGUUAAGUAUAUGCUAUAGAGUAUAUCACUUCAGCUAAAAUUUGUUAUUUUACUUCAAUAAAGAUAUUCCUUUCUGAAAUAUAUGAGUAUAUGUUACAUACGUAAGGAAAAAGAAAGAAGAAAGAAAGAAAGAAACUCACCACAUAGAAAAUGCAGGCAAGCCUUUUCAAAUAGUUACAUACGUAAGGAAAAAGAAAGAAAGAAAUAAAUUCACUAUUGUUUAAUAUGUAAAUGCUAAUAUCUUAAAAGGAUGAAUUUCAUAGAGCAUAGAGCUAGUUUAUAGAGUAUAUGCUUUUUUAGUAUAUGUUAGUAUAUGUUUUAGAGUAUAUGCUAUUUGAGUUGAAUGUUAUUAGAGAGUGACUUGAAUGUUAUUAGUUUCCUUAUGAAAAGUACAUCCAAAGCAGCUUUUGCCCCAAGAAGGUUUUUGGCAGCUAUAUCCUUUUUGAUGUCUUCACCAAAUGAAAAGGAGAGAAGCCUUGAUCCAUAUUUGUUGUUGCUCGUAUCAGAGUGGAUGAGUCACUUUCAACUUGGAUGUGUCUAAAGCCCAUUCUUCUUGCUAAAUGAACCCCAAAUCUAACUACUAAUGCUUCAGCCAUCUCUGAGUUUGUGGUAUGAUGUCUCCUAGUGGCUGCCAUAGUUAUCUUGCCUUCCCAAUCCCUCACAACAACCCCCAAACCCACCUUCACACCUUCAUUAGAAGUAGUCUCCAAACCUAAUAGAAAUUUUGAGCUGAUUAAAUAGAAAUACAAUGGGAUUACUAGAUACCAGCUAAGAUAUACUGGCUGAAAUAGAAUCCCAUAAUUCACAUCAUUAGGACAAAGAAAACAUCUAACAAUAGGACAAAGAAAACAUCUAACAAAUGGUGCCUUAUAUGCUGCCCAUGGUGCUACUUGUUUGCUUCUGUUGCUGCAUUUUGUCGAUGUACUUGCUGCCACGUAGCAGAGUAUGUUGACUGCUGGUAAGCCCCUGUGGCAGUGUGACAUGUGCUUGUGUGUUGGUUUUUAUGUGUGUGUGUGGUUCGGUUUGUACGCUAUCUUGUUAAUAUACAAACAUUUGUCCUAAUUGUAUAUUUAACUAAAUACCUCCCAAGUUUAAAAUGUGGAUAUUUAUGAUUUACUUUAUAUCUCAUCAUAGAAAAUAUUUUUACUUUGUUUUAUGUGCAUAUUGUUAUCUUGUACCCUUAUAUUGUUAUUUUUGAAGUACUUUUCAGAUUGUCAGUUCUCUAUGAUCAAACUCAGAUUGAUGAAGUGAGAACUAAGUGGGUGCGCUAUGUAGUCCACUAAGUGUAGGUGGAAGGAAUCAACAAAUUUUUGUGUUUUUAUUUUUAUUUUUAUUUUUGUCCUUUUUAUAUAUGUAUCAGCAUCUUUUUCUUAUUACAUAUGUUAUCAAAACUUAGUUUUAUUAUGGUGACUUUGUAAAAUUCUUUAUUGGAUCUUGAAUAUCAAUGAAAAAAAAAUUACCAUUGUUUUA